rnacentral:rRNA from 1 species
AUUGAACGCUGGCGGCAUGCUUUACACAUGCAAGUCGAACGGUAACAGGGAGCUUGCUCCGCUGACGAGUGGCGAACGGGUGAGUAAUAUAUCGGAACGUACCCAAGCGUGGGGGGUAACGUAGCGAAAGUUACGCUAAUACCGCAUACGAUCUAUGGAUGAAAGCAGGGGACCUUCGGGCCUUGUGCUCCUGGAGCGGCCGAUAUCUGAUUAGCUAGUUGGUGAGGUAAAGGCUCACCAAGGCGACGAUCAGUAGCUGGUCUGAGAGGACGACCAGCCACACUGGAACUGAGACACGGUCCAGACUCCUACGGGAGGCAGCAGUGGGGAAUUUUGGACAAUGGGCGCAAGCCUGAUCCAGCAAUGCCGCGUGAGUGAAGAAGGCCUUCGGGUUGUAAAGCUCUUUUGUCAGGGAAGAAACGGCUGUGGCUAAUAUCCACGGCUAAUGACGGUACCUGAAGAAUAAGCACCGGCUAACUACGUG